GUAGUAGGUAGGGUCAGGGUGUUAGCCGUACCCUGUACUCGAAACCGGCUUCAUGCGGGGACCAGUAACCAUCGGGUAAAUCCGUAGGUGAUAUGUACCUGCUGGCCUUGCUGAUAUGAAUCCACGCCGUGACGGGUGGUUACAGGUAACAGCCUAUCCGAAGGGAUGGUGCUGACUGCCGAGCCGUCGAAAGGGGUGAGGUCCGGGAGGGAGCAACCCUAAGGCGGAGUAGCCACGCUAUCACGUCUACGUGGUGGAUCUUGUGGGGUCAGAGAUUGGGCAUGUUGCCUAUGGUGGAACUGAUGGAGCUACUAC
rnacentral:SRP_RNA from 1 species